rnacentral:rRNA from 1 species
GAUGAACGCUGGCGGCGUGCCUAAUACAUGCAAGUCGAGCGAACAGACGAGGAGCUUGCUCCUCUGACGUUAGCGGCGGACGGGUGUGUAACACGUGGAUAACCUACCUAUAAGACUGGGAUAACUUCGGGAAACCGGAGCUAAUACCGGAUAAUAUAUUGAACCGCAUGGUUCAAUAGUGAAAGACGGUUUUGCUGUCACUUAUAGAUGUAUCCGCGCCGCAUUAGCUAGUUGGUAAGGUAACGGCUUACCAAGGCGACGAUGCGUAGCCGACCUGAGAGGGUGAUCGGCCACACUGGAACUGAGACACGGUCCAGACUCCUACGGGAGGCAGCAGUAGGGAAUCUUCCGCAAAGGGCGAAAGCCUGACGGAGCAACGCCGCGUGAGUGAUGAAGGUCUUCGGAUCGUAAAACUCUGUUAUUAGGGAAGAACAAAUGUGUAAGUAACUAUGCACGUCUUGACGGUACCUAAUCAGAAAGCCACGGCUAACUACGUG